GCCUGGGUGGCUCAGUCGAUUGAGCGUCCGACUUCAGCUCAGGUCAUGAUCUCACAGUUUGUGGGUUCGAGCCCCACAUGGGGCU
rnacentral:tRNA from 1 species